rnacentral:lncRNA from 1 species
UUCCUCGCUGACUGUGGGAGGAAUACAAGAAUCUACAGGUCGAGCAAGUCUCGUAAAUUUCACGAUUGCGAGCCACGCUUCACGCAACCGUGUUUGCGUACUUGUGUUUCGAGUUGCGUGGUCGUGCGGAGUUAUAUUUACCAAAUUUAAAUGUAAUCGUUUCUACUGAUAAUAAUAUACUAUUCUCAAUAUGGCUACUGGGUGUAAAAGAUAAAUCUUAUUCUAUCUGUUCUUCAUGAGUUUUAGAUAAUUUUAGUUGUAUUUCUUUGUAAUUUUGUGUUGUACAAAGAUUAAUUUAACAUUUUCUCUGGAAGUAUUAAUUUAGAAAGAUAAUAUGCUUCAUUGGUGUUGUGUUUUGAAGUGUGAAAUGCAAAGUAAUUGUGAAGUCAAGAUAAAGUUCACUUUUAAACUGAACUAAAUAAGGUAUCUGAGAGACAACAAUGGUUAAAUGCAAUACAAUGUACAGGUUUUACUAGCGAAAUGAAAAUUUUCCUGUCCUGUCUGCUGUAAUCAUUUUAUAUCUGGAAAAUAGGAAAACCAGCCGACUUAAUCGAUAAUAACAAUCUCCAGAUUGGGUUCCUUCAAUAAAUAUGGGCUAUAAACACAAUGAAAUAAGUUCCCCAAAAUCUAAAAUGGAGUGGUAUCAAAGGAGAAUUAAAGGAAAUAAUAUUCAUAUUGAAAUUAUUUAUAAGGCACUGGACUGUCUUAAAUUCUACAAUAAUACUAGAAUCAGCUGAGAGAAGUGGUCUACAAAAAACCAGGAAGGAAACGGAAUAUGUGGCUACGAAAGGCAAAAGAAAGGUUUACAAAGCAAAUGUGACACAUUUUUUUAAAAUAUUUAGGAAUAUCAGUAAAUUGCAUUAAAAAAUGUAUGAAAAGAUUUUGUUCAAUAAAAAUGUUUAUAUUUA